CCAUUCAGUGGCGGACGGGUGAGUAACACGUAGGAAUCUGCCCUGGGGUGGGGAAUAACGGCGGGAAACCGUCGCUAAUACCGCGUACGCUGGAGCGCAAGCUUCAGGAAAGCCGAAAGGCGCCCAAGGGGGAGCCUGCGGCCCAUUAUGCUGGUUGGUGGGGUAACGGCCUACCAAGGCUAUGAUGGGUAGCCGGUCUGAGAGGACGAUCGGCCACACUGGGACUGAGAGACGGCCCAG
rnacentral:rRNA from 1 species